rnacentral:rRNA from 1 species
UGGGGAAUAUUGGACAAUGGGCGAAAGCCUGAUCCAGCCAUGCCGCGUGAGUGACGAAGGCCUUAGGGUUGUAAAACUCUUUCGUCGGGGACGAUAAUGACGGUACCCGAAGAAGAAGCUCCGGCUAACUUCGUGCCAGCAGCCGCGGUAAUACGAAGGGAGCUAGCGUUGUUCGGAAUCACUGGGCGUAAAGCGCACGUAGGCGGAUAGUUAAGUCAGGGGUGAAAUCCUGGGGCUCAACCCCAGAACUGCCUUUGAUACUGGCUGUCUCGAGGUCGAGAGAGGUUGGUGGAAUUCCUAGUGUAGAGGUGAAAUUCGUAGAUAUUAGGAAGAACACCAGUGGCGAAGGCGGCCAACUGGCUCGAUACUGACGCUGAGACGCGAAAGCGUGGGGAGCGAACCGGAUUAGAUACCCCAGUAGUCCCUGAGCGGGCUGGCAAGGCGCAU